rnacentral:rRNA from 1 species
UACAGAGGGUGCAAGCGUUAAUCGGAAUUACUGGGCGUAAAGGGCGCGUAGGCGGCCCGCUAAGUCGAACGUGAAAUCCCCGAGCUCAACUCGGGAACUGCGUCGGAUACUGAAUGGCUUGAAUUCGGGAGAGGGAUGCAGAAUUCCAGGUGUAGCGGUGAAAUGCGUAGAUAUCUGGAGGAAUACCGGUGGCGAAGGCGGCAUCCUGGACCGACAUUGACGCUGAACGGCGAAAGCUAGGGGAGCAAACGGG